UUAAGCUAUAAAGAGCACAGGGUGGAUGCCUAGGCACUGAGAGCCGAUGAAGGACGUGAUAAGCUGCGAAAAGCCACGGGGAGGAGCAAAUAUCCUUUGAGCCGUGGAUAUCCGAAUGGGGGAACCCACUUAAGUAAACCUUAAGUACUGACAAGCCAAUACAUAACUUGCCAGAGGGAACCCGGGGAACUGAAACAUCUAAGUACCCGGAGGAAGAGAAAGAAACAUCGAUUUCCUUAGUAGCGGCGAGCGAAAGGGAAAGAGCCCAAACCGAGAGAUUUAUCUUUCGGGGUUAGGACUGCAUAAUUGAUCUGCGAUUGAUAGGAGAAUGGUCUGGGAAGUCCAGCAGGAAAGCGUGAAAGCCGCGUAUCCGAAAUUGAAAGCAGCAAGGCAGUAUCCAGAGUACCACGAGACACGAGGAACCUUGUGGGAAUGAGCGGAGACCACUCCGUAAGGCUAAAUACUACUCAGUGACCGAUAGCGCAUAGUACUGUGAAGGAAAGGUGAAAAGGACCCCGGGAGGGGAGUGAAAGAGAACCUGAAACCCUGUGUUUACAAGCUGUCGGAGCACGUUAGUGCGACGGCGUACUUUUUGUAGAACGGUCCGGCGAGUUAUGAUACGCGGUAAGGUUAAGGACUUAAGGUCCGGAGCCGAAGCGAAAGCGAGUGUUAAGAGCACGAAGAAUCACGUAUCAUAGACCCGAAACCGGGUGAUCUAUCCAUGUCCAGGAUGAAGCUGCCGUAAGAGGUAGUGGAGGUCCGAACACACAUCCGUUGAAAAGGGUGGUGAUGAGGUGUGGAUAGGGGAGAAAUUCCAAUCGAACCCGGAGAUAGCUGGUUCUCCUCGAAAUAGCUUUAGGGCUAGCCUUCAGUUAGUCUGCCGCAGGUAGAGCACUGAAUUUCCUAGGGGGCGUCAAAGCCUACCGAAGAAUAUCAAACUGCGAAUGGCGGACAGAUGAUGCUGGGGAGUCAGACUGCACGAGAUAAGUUGGGUGGUCAAAAGGGAAAGAGCCCAGACCUACAGCUAAGGUCCCAAAGUGCGUGUUAAGUGGAAAAGGAUGUGGGAUUUCGAAGACAACUAGGAUGUUGGCUCAGAAGCAGCCACACAUUAAAAGAGUGCGUAAUAGCUCACUAGUCGAGAGGUCCUGCGCCGAAAAUGUCCGGGGCUGAAACACGACACCGAAGCUUAGGAACAGAAAUGUUGGUAGAGGAGCAUUGUUAGCGGAACGAAGCCAUACCGGAAGGAGUGGUGGACUGCUAAGAAGAGAGAAUGCCGGAAUGAGUAGCGAGAUUGAAGUGAGAAUCUUCAAGGCCGAAUAUCUAAGGUUUCCAGGGUAAAGCUGAUCUGCCCUGGGUAAGUCGGGGCCUAAGGCGAGGUCGAAAGACGUAGCCGAUGGACAACAGGUUGAAAUUCCUGUACUGCGAUAUAUCAGAAAUGUGGGGACACAGAAGGAAAGUGUGAGCCGGGAAAGGAAAGACCGGUGCAAGCACAGGAGGAGAGAUACAGGCAAAUCCGUAUUUCAAUCCAAUGGUGUUACGCGGAGCGAACAAAAGUAGCGAAGCACACAGACCAUCUGUCGAGAAAAGCCGCUAUUGUGUAUACCGUACCCGUACCGUAAACCGACACAGGUGGAUGAGGAGAGAAUCCUAAGGCCGGCGGGAGAAGCAUUGUUAAGGAACUCGGCAAAAUGACCCCGUAACUUCGGGAGAAGGGGUGCUCACGCAAGUGAGCCGCAGAGAACUGGCCCAAGCAACUGUUUAGCAAAAACACAGGUCUAUGCAAAACCGAAAGGUGAGGUAUAUGGGCUGACGCCUGCCCGGUGCUGGAAGGUUAAGAGGAGAUGUUAGAGCAAUCGAAGCAUUGAAUUUAAGCCCCAGUAAACGGCGGCCGUAACUAUAACGGUCCUAAGGUAGCGAAAUUCCUUGUCGGGUAAGUUC
rnacentral:rRNA from 1 species